GUUACAUUGCCCUUGAAACCGAACGUUAACAGUGUGAAGUUUGCUCGGUCGCCAUGCUAAACAAAUCGCCGCCAUUUUGCGCAGUGACAACUCCGCGUCAGUAUGGUAGCCACGUCUCUGUAGUGAUGAGUGAACAUUCCUCUGUAUUGACGCAAUGCCACCAAAGAAGAAACCUAAAACCAAAGAA